rnacentral:rRNA from 1 species
CAACUUUCGACAACGGAUCUCUUGGUUCUCCCAUCGAUGAAGAACGCAGCGAAACGCGAUAGGUAAUGUGAAUUGCAGAAUUCCGUGAAUCAUCGAAUCUUUGAACGCACCUUGCGCUCUAGGCAAUCCGUAGAGCAUGCCUGUUUGAGUGCCAU